UACGAAGGGGGCAAGCGUUGUUCGGAAUUACUGGGCGUAUAGGGCGCGUAGGCGGCUUAUCAAGUCAGGCGUGAAAUUCCCGGGCUCAACCUGGGGGCUGCGCUUGAUACUGAUGAGCUUGAAUGCGGGAGAGGAUAGUGGAAUUCCCAGUGUAGAGGUGAAAUUCGUAGAUAUUGGGAAGAACACCGGUGGCGAAGGCGGCUAUCUGGCCCGUAAUUGACGCUGAGGCGCGAAAGCGUGGGGAGCAAACAGG
rnacentral:rRNA from 1 species